UUUCUCUUUAUUAUUUCUUUCUUUAUUUCUUUGAGUUUGUGAUCCUUUUUAAAAAAAUUUCUUGAUAAAUGAAUCAGUUUAUUUGGUGCUAUAGAUUUCUCACUAAUUGUUGUUCUUAGCUGUGCCCAUAGUUUUGACAGGUACUGUUUCCAUUCUCAUUUAUUUCUGAGCACUUCCUCGAGCCAGAUAGUAUUAAUAUUAAUACUAUAGUAUAAAUGGUAAAGCUCAGGGGCCCCGUAGCCUGUCCACCUGGGUUUGAAUCCCUGCUGUAGCCCUCACUGACUGUUUGACCCCGGGCAGGUUACCUAACCUCUCUGUGCCUCACUAUUUUCAUUUCAAAAACAGUCCAUCUAAAUGAGUAUUAACUCAUGUAAAGACCACCACAGAACAUGCCUGCAUAUACACGGCAAGUAUAUGUAUUAAUGAGUGUUAGCUAUUAUAAAGUCUCCAAACAUGGGACAUUUUAGUUCACCUUUAACUGUUAAUUCCUAGUGAGAGAUUAAUCUUAGACAGAAGAAGCUUCCCUGCUUCCUCUGAGGCAGACAGAAGGGAGAAACUGAGGCACCCAUGAGGUGGGAGAACUUGAUUUACAAGAGGCUCCCAUCCCUGCAGCCUUGCGCUCUCCCCGGAAGGCGUGGCUGGAGGUUGAGCGUGGAGAAGGCAGGCCGCUUCCGCUUCCGGGGCGGAACGCUGCAGGGCGGAUGAAAAGAAAGCGCAGUGGGCAAGAUUUUCAAGGAGGCCACCAGGAAGAGGUUCAAGAAAUGGCUCGCAAAUGGCAGAGCACAUUAAACAUGGGAAUUGAGGGCGGAGCAGGAUAGGGAAGGACCCCAGGGGACCCGUGCAUGUGCGGAGGAGAUGUGUACAAUAUGUGUGUCCGCCACAGUUCCUUACUGCCCAGUGGCAUUCGGCGUUUGUGACACCCCAUAAGGACAGAAUUCUGGUGAACCCACAAUGCAUGGGAGUUCCAUAAAUUCAAAGCAAGUACAGGAGCAAGACCAAAGUGGACAGUGUUAGCAGAAUGUGUGAAGCACGAAGUGAAAUAAACAUAGUUGAGUCAAAGUUUCGUGCAUCUUUUCCACUGCUCUGGUAAGAAUAAAAUAUAUAAAUAUGUACGAGCUACAAAUUACAACGUGUGAAAUUUUCAUGUUUUGCAUACUGGUUAAAUGCUCUCAUAUUUGCAUUUAAAACUAGCAUUGCACAAUAUAAAGAUGAACUGAAAAAGUGAUGCUAAUAACUUAAAUUUUUAAACUCUAUGUAGAAUGACAUUAAAUUGCCUAUUAAAAAAUAUCAUGACAAGUUGAAAGAGACCACGGAAGAAAGGAAAAAACUUUAUAUUUUAGUACCUUUAAUGCAACUAUUCCCUUGAUUUAUGAACAAAGAGCCCUGCGUUUUUAUUUUGCACUGGGCCCUGCGAAUCACUAGCCAGACCUGGUAUCACCUCCGGAAGGUCUCGCUCAGCCUGUCCAGCAACCACUGUCAUGCAGAAGCCAGACAAAAUCCCAGAGCACUCCUUUCUCCCCGCCUUUCUCACAGACCCACGUUCCUUACUGAGGUGACACCCCUCUAUUCAGUGCAUGUGUGUGUCAUGUCAUGUACAUUCUAAAAUGGAAUCGUACUAACAUCGGGUGGAUUGCUCGAGGUCAGGAGUUCAAAUGGUGUAUCAUGAACAUAUCCCCCUGCUAAUGACCAUUCUUAAACACAUUCUAAUAGGUGUGUAUUAUUCUAACAUAGGCGUAGAGCACAAUUUAGGGACCCCCUGUUUUCAGUUUUUCAAAACUAUUAGCAAUAUUCUGCUAAGUCUUUGUGAACAUUAAGCACCUAGCAACAAGCAGGUUUCUGGUAUAAAUCAACUAAUAUCGAUUGAAUAAAUGAAAUAAGAAAUUCGUGGAUUAUUUUCUUAAAUUCUUACGUGUAUAUUGUCAGGGUCAAGAGGUAUGUCAUUUGAAAAUUUUUUAUGAUCUCCCAAAAUGUAGUACAGGUUUGAACCAGCAGUGAAUGGGUGAUCUCACUGUUGUGAAUUUUUAUCAAAUUCUUUUUUUAAAAAAGUCUCUUCUAAUUUAAUAGGCAGAAUUUUUCAUUAUUAUUUGAAUGGUCAUUUCUUUGAUUUCUAGAGAGUCUCAACUUUGCUGGCCGUUUGUACGUCUGUGAAUUAUCGUAUUGUCUUUUGCCUGUUUGAUGUUGAAUGUUCGUCUUUACUGAUUAGUAAACGUUCUUUACGUAUUAGCACUAACUGUCAUAUAUAUUGCCAAUAGGUUUUCUUACUUUGUGAUUUGGUUUAUAAUUUUAUUUUUUUUAAUGUUCUUUAAAUAUUGUUGUUAUAUUCGAGAUUCACAAGGCUGCAGGACAGAGAGACAGAGUCACCGAAGCUGUAAUUAUCAAAAGGAGUUUUAUUGUCUAGUUCGAGCUAGGGUUCGAGCUUCCAGAGUGCCAGCGCAAUGAUCUCUUCUCCGGGCAGGGACCCUCCUUUGUGUGUUAGUCCCCUUUUUAA